rnacentral:rRNA from 1 species
CAGCCCCUCGAGUGGUGGGGAUGAUUAUUUGGCCUAAAGCGUCCGUAGCCGGCCGUGUAGGUCUCCCGUUAAAUCCAGCGUCUCAAGCGUUGGACUGCGGGAGAUACUGUACGGCUAGAGAGUGGGAGAGGUCAGCGGUAUUCUGGGGGUAGGGGCGAAAUCCUUUGAUCCCCGGAGGACCACCAGUGGCGAAGGCUGCUGACUAGAACACGUCUGACGGUCAGGGACGAAAGCUGGGGUAGCGAACCGGAUUAGAUACCCGAGUAGUCC